UCAGUGCAUGACAGAACUUCA
rnacentral:miRNA from 1 species